AGUGAACGCUGGCGGUAGGCCUAACACAUGCAAGUCGAACGGCAGCACAGUAAGAGCUUGCUCUUACGGGUGGCGAGUGGCGGACGGGUGAGGAAUACAUCGGAAUCUACUUUUUCGUGGGGGAUAACGUAGGGAAACUUACGCUAAUACCGCAUACGACCUACGGGUGAAAGCAGGGGAUCUUCGGACCUUGCGCGAUUGAAUGAGCCGAUGUCGGAUUAGCUAGUUGGCGGGGUAAAGGCCCACCAAGGCGACGAUCCGUAGCUGGUCUGAGAGGAUGGUCACCCACACUGGAACUGAGACACGGUCCAGACUCCUACGGGAGGCAGCAGUGGGGAAUAUUGGACAAUGGGCGCAAGCCUGGUCCAGCCAUACCGCGUGUGUGAAGAAGGCCUUCGGGUUGUAAAGCCCUUUUGUUGGGAAAGAAAAGCAGCAGGUUAAUACCCCGCUGUUCUGACGGUACCCAAAGAAUAAGCACCGGCUAACUUCGUG
rnacentral:rRNA from 1 species